rnacentral:rRNA from 1 species
GGGGGAAGAACAACAGGGGAUUGCCCCAGUAACGGCGAGUGAAGCGGCAACAGCUCAAAUUUGAAAUCUGGCCCCUCCGGGUCCGAGUUGUAAUUUGUAGAGGAUGCUUUUGGUGAGGUGCCGCCCGAGUUCCCUGGAACGGGACGCCACAGAGGGUGAGAGCCCCGUCUGGCUGGCCACCGAGCCUCUGUAAAGCUCCUUCGACGAGUCGAGUAGUUUGGGAAUGCUGCUCAAAAUGGGAGGUAUAUGUCUUCUAAAGCUAAAUAUUGGCCAGAGACCGAUAGCGCACAAGUAGAGUGAUCGAAAGAUGAAAAGCACCUUGAAAAGAGGGUUAAACAGUACGUGAAAUUGUUGAAAGGGAAGCGCUUGUGACCAGACUUGGGCGCGGCGGAUCAUCCGGGGUUCUCUCCGGUGCACUUCGCCGCGUUCAGGCCAGCAUCAGUUCGUCGCGGGGGAAAAAGGCUUCGGGAACGUGGCUCCUCCGGGAGUGUUAUAGCCCGUUGCAUAAUACCCUGCGGUGGACUGAGGACCGCGCAUCUGCAAGGAUGCUGGCGUAAUGGUCACCAGCGACCCGUCUUGAA